GACGAACGCUGGCGGCGUGCUUAACACAUGCAAGUCGAACGGAAAGGCCCUGCUUUUGUGGGGUGCUCGAGUGGCGAACGGGUGAGUAACACGUGAGUAACCUGCCCUUGACUUUGGGAUAACUUCAGGAAACUGGGGCUAAUACCGGAUAGGAGCUCCUGCUGCAUGGUGGGGGUUGGAAAGUUUCGGCGGUUGGGGAUGGACUCGCGGCUUAUCAGCUUGUUGGUGGGGUAGUGGCUUACCAAGGCUUUGACGGGUAGCCGGCCUGAGAGGGUGACCGGCCACAUUGGGACUGAGAUACGGCCCAGACGCCUACGGGAGGCAGCAGGGGGGAAUAUUGCACAAUGGGCGGGAGCCUGAUGCAGCAACGCCGCGUGCGGAAUGACGGCCUUCGGGUUGUAAACCGCUUGCGCCUGUGACGAAGCGUGAGUGACGGUAAUGGGUAAAGAAGCACCGGCUAACUACGUG
rnacentral:rRNA from 1 species